rnacentral:lncRNA from 1 species
AUGGUGAGCCAACCUCAGCCUUCUCUGUACGCCACAGCUGCACCUCUUUACAGAGAUCACAACCCCGUCACUGCUAUUCCUAUGACUCAAACAGUGAAGAAUCAAUCAGUUUACUCCUCACAACCAGAAUGCCAGGCCGCUCAGCACAUGAGAGCUGUACCCCAAAGACAUGAGCUCCUGUCACCCCCUAUCAACCUGUCAGCUCCAGUUCCACAGGCAACGUAUCAAUCACAAACUCAACAAUUUGUUCCCCAACCUGAGUUCCAUCAGCCGGUCAACUACAGCCACCAGGUAGUGCCUGCUGCACAUAACAUGAAUUCACAUCUCCCUGCAGUAGACCCGUAUGCUCAGCGAGGUUUUCAGCCACAGUACAGCUCACCCCAGCUGUUGCAAACACCUACUCCGUUCCGUCAGCCUGUCCCGGUCCCUGAAAUGCCAAAACUGAUUAAUGACAGCGAAAGAGAGUUUACCGAUCUGAAAAUGGCCCUAGAUCAUCUACUCACCCCCCAUACAGAUAUCUCAGAACACUAUAAAUACAGGGUUCUGAUGGAGCAUCUGGUCCUAGACGAAGCAAAGCUCAUAGCACAAUCCUGCAGGCAUUAUCCACACCCAUACACUGCUGCUAUGCAAGCAUUGCAACGUCAGUACGGGCAGCCUCACCAACUCGCCCAAAGUGAGAUUGCGGCCAUCUUAAAUGCCCCCGACCUCAAGCCUGGAGAUUCUAAGGCUUUCCAGAGUUUUGCACUAAGGGUCGACCUCCUGGUGGGAAUGUUAACAUCCCUGGAGAGUACAAAUGGAACUGAGCUGAUGUCAACUGGCCAUGUGGAUCGAAUAAUCAGCAAACUUCCCAAGCAGUACAGAGACAGCUUUGUAGAGCAUCUGCAAACUCAGGGCCGUCUCAACACAAACUGCCUGAACCCUUAUAACCUAAGGGAUCUUUCAGACUGGCUCAAAGUUAAAGCUGAAGCCCAGAGGCUCUCAGCAAAGAUGGUUCAGCGUCACCGAACUGAUGGGCACCCACCAUUCAGAAAGGAGAAACAACCAUUACCCAUAAAACCUAGGAGCCAACUCAUCUCAGUGUAUCACGGGUCUGACAAAACAUCAAGUGAAGACAGUGAGAAAAGGCAGAUGUCACAAUGGGGACCUUCUAAGCAACCAAAAUCUAAGAAAAUGUGUCUGUUUUGUAAAAAUCCAGACCACUACUUAUCUCAGUGCCCGGUCAUCCCCCAACGGUCACCAGAAGAAAUGAAGAUGUGGUUAGAUAAGGGCAAGCGAUGCUACAACUGUGGCCGGACCAGUCACCAGGAGGGUUCCUGCACACUAAAAAAGCCAUGUAGCAAAUGUUCAGAUGUCCAUCUUACUGUUCUUCACGAGGUGAACCAAGUGAGUUCCAGAGUGUAUCUCAUCACACCAAAAGACCAGGUUAUCCUUGCUAAACCCACGCAAUGCAGUAAAGUCUACCUUAAGGUUGUGCCCAUCAUCAUCAGCCACAAGGAAAGAUCUCUUCAGACCUACGCAAUCCUGGAUGAUGGAGCUGAGCGCACCAUGCUGCUACCAGCAGCGACCAAAAGCCUUGGCCUUAGAGGUGAGAGCGAGUCAUUAUCCCUGCGUACCAUCCGCCAGAACGUUGCCCGCCUAACUGGUGAGUCAGUCAACUUCCACGUAUCACCACUGGAACGGCCAACCGAGCGCUAUCUGAUUAAAGGUGCAUACACAGCAAGUCAACUCACUCUGACCGAACAAAGUUAUCCCACAGCAGUGCUACAGAAGCGCUAUCGCCACUUAAAAGGACUGCCGCUGCUGAGUUUCAAUAAGGUUCAGCCCCUUGUGCUUAUUGGAGCCGACCACAGCCACCUCAUCACUGCCAAAGAGCCAGUCCGGUUCGGUGUAAAAGGCGGACCCGCAGCAGUCUGUACAGCACUGGAAUGGACACUCCAAGGCCCAGAUGGUAUGUCAUGCUCAACCACGUCCUGCUUCUUUACAUCACUCAAAACACCUUCAAAUGAUAUUUACCAACAUGUCGAACGCCUAUGGCAGCUAGACGUGCUUCCAUUUAAGAACGAGCAGCAAGCCGUCCAAUCCAGACUAGAUCAACGAGCAGUGAGCAUCCUGGAGGAACGGACCAUGAGACUAAAGGUUGGUGACACACUUCGCUACGCCACACCACUAAUCAGAGCUAAGAAUGCACCAAAGCUAAAGUCCUCAUUUGAAACUGUUCUACCGCUACUCCGCAAUACGGACGUCUAA